AACGAACGCUGGCGGCAUGCCUAACACAUGCAAGUCGAACGAAACCUUCGGGCCUAGUGGCGCACGGCUGCGUAACGCGUGGGAACCUGCCCUUAGGUUCGGAAUAACUCCCCGAGAGGGGUGCUCAUACCGGAUAAUGUCUUCGGACCAAAGAUUUAUGGCCUUUGGGUGGGGCCGCGUCGGAUUCGCUAGUUGGUAGGGUAAAAGCCUACCAAGGCGACGAUCCCUAGCUGGUGUGGGAGGAGGAUCAGCCACACUGGGACUGAGACACGGCCCAGACUCCUACGGGAGGCAGCAGUGUGGAAUAUAGGACGAUGGGGGAUAGUGUGACACAGCAAUGCCGGGGGAGUGAGGAAGGCCGUAGGGAUGUAAAGCUCUUUUACCCGGGAUGAUAAUGACAGUACCGGGAGAAUAAGCGCCGGCUAACUACGUG
rnacentral:rRNA from 1 species